rnacentral:rRNA from 1 species
GACGAACGCUGGCGGCGUGCUUAACACAUGCAAGUCGUACGGUAAGGCCCUUUCGGGGGUACACGAGUGGCGAACGGGGGAGUAACACGUGAGUAACCUGCCCACAACUUUGGGAUAACGCUAGGAAACUGGUGCUAAUACUGGAUAUGUGCUCCUGCUGCAUGGUGGGGGUUGGAAAGCUCCGGCGGUUGUGGAUGGACUCGCGGCCUAUCAGCUUGUUGGUGGGGUAGUGGCCUACCAAGGCGGCGACGGGUAGCCGGCCUGAGAGGGUGACCGGCCACACUGGCACUGAGAUACGGCCCAGACUCCUACGGGUGGCAGCAGUGGGGAAUAUUGCACAAUGGGCGCCAGCCUGAUGCAGCAACGCCGCGUGCGGGAUGACGGCCUUCGGGUUGUAAACCGCUUUCAGCAGGGACGAAGCUUUUUGUGACGGUACCUGCAGAAGAAGCACCGGCUAACUACGUG